AUGAUCCCUAGUGAUAUUAGUAGUAGUAGUGGUAGUAGAAGUAGUAGUAGUAGUGGUAGUAGUAGUAGUGGUAGUAGUUGUAGUGGUAGUAGUUGGCUUAGUGGUAGUAGUAGUAGUGGUAGUAGCCCUAAUGGUAGUAGUGGUAGUAGAGGUCUUAGGCCUAGUGGUAGUAGUAGUAGUAGUGUUAGUAGCCAUCGCGGUAGUAGUAGUAUUGGUAGUAGAACUAAUGCUAGUAGUGGUAGUAGUAUUAGUAGUGGUAGUAGUGGAAGUAGUUGUAGUAGAAGUGGCUGUAGUACUAGUGGUAGUAAUAGCAGUAGUGGUAGUAGUAGUUGUAGUAGUUGUAGUUGUGGUAGACGUAGUAGUAGUGGUUGUUUUACUAGUGGUAGUAGUAGUAGUAGUAGUGGUAGUACUGGUAGUAGUGGUAGUAGUCCUUGUGGUAGUAGUGGUGGUAGUAGUAGUAGUAGUAGUAGUAGUGGUAGUAGUAGUAGUAGUGGUAGUAGCCCUAGUGAUAUUAGUAGUAGUAGUGGUAGUAGAAGUAGUAGUAGUAGUGGUAAUAGUAGUAGUGGUAUGAUCCCUAGUGAUAUUAGUAGUAGUAGUGGUAGUAGAAGUAGUAGUAGUAGUGGUAGUAGUUGUAGACAUAGUAGUUGGCUUAGUGGUAGUAGUAGUAGUGGUAGUAGCCCUAAUGGUAGUAGUGGUAGUAGAGGUCUUAGGCCUAGUGGUAGUAGUAGUAGUAGUGUUAGUAGCCAUAGCGGUAGUAGUAGUAUUAGUGGUAGUAGUAGUAGUAGUAGUGGUAGUAGCCUUAGUAGUAGCAGUCAUGGUAGUAGUAGUAGUAGUAGUAGUAGAAAUAGUAGUAGUGGAAGUAGGCCUAGUAGUGGUAGUGGUAGUAGUAGUGGUAGUAGUAGUAGUAGUAGUGGCGGUAGUAGUAGUAGUAUUAGUGGUAGUAGUAGUAGUUGUGGUAGUUGGCCUAGUAGUAGUAAUUGUAGUAGUAGUAGUAGUAGUAGUAGUAGUAGUAGUGGUAGUGGUAGUAGUAGUAGUAGUGGUAGAAGUAGUAGUAGUGGUAGUAGCCCUAGUAGUAGUAGUAGUACUAGUAGUAGUGGUAGUAGUUGUACUAAGCCUAGAAGUAGUAUUAGUAGUAGUACUAGUGGUAGUAGUAGUAGUAGUAGUAGUAGUAGUAGUAGUAGUAGUAGUAGUCGUAGUGGUAGUAGGCUUAGCAGUAGUAGUAGUACUAGUGGUAACACUAGCAGUAGUAUUAGUCAUAGUAGUGGUAGUAGUAGUAGUAGUAGUAGUAGUAGUAGUAGUAGUAGUAGUAGUAGUAGUAGUAGUGGUAGUAGGCCUAGCAGUAGUAGUAGUGGUACUAUUGGUGGUAGUUGUAAGACUAGUGGUGGUAGUAGGCCUAGUGGUAGUAUCCCUAGUGGAAGUAGUAGUAGUGGAAGGAUUAGUAGUGGUAGUAGUAGUAGUGGUAGUAGGUCUAGUGGUGGUAGUAGUAUUAGUAGUAGUGAUAGUAGACUUAGUGGUAGUAGUAGUAGUAUUAGUGUUAGUAGGCCUAUUGGUAGUAGACCUAGUGGUAGUAGUACAAGUUGUUGGCCUUGUGGUAGUGGUAUUAGUGGUGGUAGUGGUACUCGUGGUAGUAGUUGUAGUAGUAGUGGUAGUGGUAUUAGUGGUAGUAGUAGUACUCGUGGUAGUAGUUGUAGUAGUAGUGGUAGUAGUAGUAGUCGUGGUAGUAGUACUCGUGGUAGUAGUUGUAGUAGUAGUGGUAGUGGUAUUAGUGGUGGUAGUAGUACUCGUGGUAGUAGUUGUAGUAGUAGUUGUAGUAGUAGUAGUCGUGGUUGUGGUACUCGUGGUAGUAGUUGUAGUAGUAGUGGUAGUAGGCCUUGUGGUAGUUGUAUUAGUGGUGGUAGUUGUACUCGUGGUAGUAGUUGUAGUAGUAGUGGUAGUAGGCCUAGUGGUUGUGGUAUUAGUGGUGGUAGUAUUCUCAAGCUUAUGAAAAAAGUGUUUCAAGACAAAGGAGGGUGA
ensembl:lncRNA